UGGGGAAUUGUUCGCAAUGGGCGCAAGCCUGACGACGCAACGCCGCGUGGAGGAUGAAGACCUUCGGGUCGUAAACUCCUUUCGAUCGAGACGAAUGGCCCUUGGGUUAACAGCCCAGGGGUAUGACGGUAACGAGAGAAGAAGCCCCGGCUAACUCCGUGCCAGCAGCCGCGGUAAUACGGGGGGGGCAAGCGUUGUUCGGAAUUACUGGGCGUAAAGGGCUCGUAGGUGGCCAACUAAGUCAGACGUGAAAUCCCUCGGCUUAACCGGGGAACUGCGUCUGAUACUGGAUGGCUUGAGUUCGGGAGAGGGAUGCGGAAUUCCAGGUGUAGCGGUGACAUGCGUAGAUAGCUGGAGGAACACCGGUGGCGAAGGCGGCUUCCUAGACCGACACUGACACUGAGGAGCGAAAACCAGGGGAGCAAACGGG
rnacentral:rRNA from 1 species